rnacentral:rRNA from 1 species
UACAGAGGGUGCAAGCGUUUGUUCGGAAUUAUUGGGCGUAAAGCGCGUGUAGGCGGCUUUGCAAGUCGGGUGUGAAAGCCCUCGGCUCAACCGAGGAAGUGCGCCCGAAACUGCAGAGCUUGAGUACCGGAGAGGAUGGCGGAAAUUCCCCAAGUAGAGGUGAAAUUCGUAGAUAUGGGGAGGAACACCGGUGGCGAAGGCGGCCAUCUGGACGGAUCUGACGCUGAGACGCGAAAGCGUGGGUAGCAAACAGG